rnacentral:rRNA from 1 species
AGUAGUUGUACUCUGGCUCGGGAUGAACGCUGGCGGCGUGCUUAACACAUGCAAGUCGAACGAGUUAUCAUUUUGAAGCGAUUAGCUGCUAAGAGUGGAAAAGUUGAUAACUUAGUGGCGGACGGGUGAGUAACGCGUGGGUAACCUGCCUUACACAGGGGGAUAACACUUAGAAAUAGGUGCUAAUACCGCAUAAGCGCACAGUCCCGCAUGGGACAGAGUGAAAACAUUAGUGGUGUAAGAUGGACCCGCGUCUGAUUAGCUGGUUGGCGGGGUAACGGCCCACCAAGGCGACGAUCAGUAGCCGGCCUGAGAGGGUGGACGGCCACAUUGGGACUGAGACACGGCCCAAACUCCUACGGGAGGCAGCAGUGGGGGAUAUUGGACAAUGGGGGAAACCUUGAUCCAGCGACGCCGCGUGAGUGAAGAGGUAUUUCGGUAUGUAAAGCUCUAUCAGCAGGGAAGAAAGAAAUGACGGUACCUGAGUAAGAAGCCCCGGCUAACUACGUG